UACGAAGGGGGCUAGCGUUGCUCGGAAUCACUGGGCGUAAAGGGUGCGUAGGCGGGUCUUUAAGUCAGGGGUGAAAUCCUGGAGCUCAACUCCAGAACUGCCUUUGAUACUGAGGAUCUUGAGUUCGGGAGAGGUGAGUGGAACUGCGAGUGUAGAGGUGAAAUUCGUAGAUAUUCGCAAGAACACCAGUGGCGAAGGCGGCUCACUGGCCCGAUACUGACGCUGAGGCACGAUAGCGUGGGGAUCAAACAGG
rnacentral:rRNA from 1 species